ACUGACAGCCAUGGUUACCGCGGCUGCUGGCACGGAGUUAGCCGGUGCUUCUUCUGUGAGUGAUGUCCUUCCUGCCGGCUAUUAACCCGCAGGCCUUCUUCCUCACUGAAAGUGCUUUACAACCCGAAGGCCUUCUUCACACACGCGGCAUGGCUGGAUCAGGGUUGCCCCCAUUGUCCAAUAUUCCCCACUGCUGCCUCCCGUAGGAGUCUGGGCCGUGUCUCAGUCCCAGUGUGGCUGAUCAUCCUCUCAGACCAGCUACGGAUCGUCGCCUUGGUGAGCCGUUACCUCACCAACCAGCUAAUCCGACAUAGGCUCAUCCGAUAGCGCGAGGCCCGAAGGUCCCCCGNUUUCCCCCGUAGGGCGUAUGCGGUAUUAGCCUGGGUUUCCCCAGGUUAUCCCCCACUACCGGGCAGAUUCCUAUGCAUUACUCACCCGUCCGCCGCUCGCCACCAGGGAGCAAGCUCCCCGUGCUGCCGCUCGACUUGCAUGUGUUAGGCCUGCCGCCAGCGUUCAAU
rnacentral:rRNA from 1 species